ensembl:lncRNA
AUUCACUUCUGCUCAGGAGGCUGAGAUCCUUCAUGGAUGUUAAUCUCUCGCGCGUGUCGCACGUUGUCUGUUUUUUUACACAGUUAUCCUUCCCUCUGAUCCUCUCUCUUCCUCUCUCUGCCUCUCUCUCUCUCUCUCUCCCCCUCUCUCCUCCUCCCUCUCUCCCCCUGUCCCUCUCUCUCUGGCUCCCAGUGUGUGCGCGCCAUCGUGCUGCACGCGCCCGGACUUUAUUCUGGAUUAAAACAAGGUCAAGCACGCGCAGAGGAUUUAGAGUCCGGCCGUGUGGCUCUGCUGCUUUAGCAUGUGCGGCGUGGACGCGGAGCUGGAUGACGGGGUGGAGGAUGACAGGGACCAGGAGGACGAGUUCGUCCUCGCCGAGGGAGCCCGCAUGCUGCCGCCUCCCGUGGCCCACUGCGAGGGCGGCGCCUGGGGGGGCCGGAGGAGUCGCUGUGGCUGCCUGGCGUCGGGCGCCGGCCUGCUGCUGUGGAACGUGGCCCUGGCCGCGACCUGCCUGCUCCUGCUGGCGGCCGUGUUUGCCCUGGUGCUCCUGCCUGCCCUGCUCCUGCUCUACGCCGGCUUCCUCUGCCACUCGCGGGUUCUGGCCUCACCUUCCACAAUCUGCCAUUACCUUGACGACAACAGUUGUUCCGCCCUCAUCAUCCUGGGCUUUGUGAUGAUGUCACCUCUUGUGGUGGUGGCCGCAGCGACCUUCUGUGGCCUCCUCCGCCACCUACGACUCCUCUGGUUCUUCCAGCCAAUCUCAGGCGCCUGGUACCAAGGCCGGGGGUUAUGCUGGAGAGAAGAUUUGCGUGCCUGGGUCUGAUGACGUGACAGACGUGUCAAAGGUCACAGAGCUCAGGCAGAGGUUCAAUAUUGUAUUUUAACACACUCCAUAAUUAUAGCGUAGUGCCAUCCACAGACUGGUCAAGGUAACCAGGCGUAUUUCCAGCUCACCUCACCUCAACCGGCCAGUUUUCCCAUCGCUGGGUGAUUGGUGGGAGAACACAGUUCCUCCUACUUAAUUAUAUCUGAUGCAUGCCGAUGCUCAAUCGAGUCAAAUUGCAGAUGGUGCAUGCAACUUAUCAACAAAAACAGCGUCAGUGUUUGAUUCCAGACUUCAGGAUGCUGAAUAGGUAUUCCAGAAAGUUCCAGAAAGAUGUGGCAUACAGUACAGAUGCUGUGAGUUGUGAACAGUACCUUACAUUAUUCUUUUUUUGUUAUUUUUUCUUUUUGGAAGGUGCAAUAAUUGAGCAAUUUAUGUUUUUCUCCCCCUGGUUAAGUAAUUGACACUGGGCAAAUUGUUAUUAAAUAUUUUUUUAUUAUUGUGUAUUCUUAAAACAUUGUGUAUUCAAAUGUGUUUCUAAGGAGUGUGUUAAUAUUUUUGGGCCCUAUUUUGACAAUCUGAUGCAUAGCAGCGAGCAGAAAGCUCAAACAACAUUUAUGAUUGGGUCCAUAUCCCCAGUAAUUAAAAAAAGGGAACUGUUGUCCCAAGUUUCUUUAUUUUACUUUACUUAGUUUCUUAAUUAUCUUGAGGAGGGUUUCAGACAUAAGAUAUAAUGAACCGAUCAGAAUGGCACAUACAUCAUUUUAAAAAGUAGGGGUGCAAGAUUUAGGGCGAAUUGCUAUUAUGAUGCUAUUACACAAGAACAAAACAGGGUCCAUAGCCUGGCCAAAGCUAGCAGAAUUUUCUCCAUGAUGUAUAAUCAACACAAGCACCACACACCCACACAUUUCUAAAAUGUACAGCUUAAAUAUAGUUUAAUAAUGUAGCCCUGACUUAUAAUAUAAGAUUAUUUACACUGCCUCUGCCUGCCUUCACUGGCUCCAGAAAUUCACAAAACCAAUGGUAAACAGUGGGAAAGGUGGGAAAAUGUGCCUUAGAUUGUCAAAAUAGAGCCCAUUCAAUGAAUAAGUAAUGCAUAUUUAUUUAUUUAUGUAUGUCCAUAUAUAGAACUUUGUAAAACAUGGAAGUAAUUUUUGCUCAACUGUUGUGCCAGGUUUACAGUAGUAUAAAGGCCACUUGGUUUUGAACACUUCAUACCCAGUGGAUGAACUUAAAUCUUAAGUGACCGUGACACAUUUGCUUGCCUUUGAAAUAGCUGGAUGGCAGCAUUAGCUUUUGAGAUGAAGGCCACAUUACUCAGUAUAAUUGUCUGUGGUUUAUAAUGCUGUCUGUGGUGCUUUUUUCUUUAUAUUAUUUGAAAACGAUAAUAAGUGUGAAGAAGAUGUCAGGAAAUAUGUUCCGUUAUCAGAGAGCCAGUAGAGUCCCCUCCUGAUGAGCAGUUAAAGAAGUAUAAUAAUAACAACAGCGACUAGACUUUCAGUCGAUGUAAAGUGCUUCGGUACAAAAAACGUUUGUAGAAAAUGAACAGUAGAAACAGCAGGAAUGAAAAGCAUUUAACGGAAGAGUGCAAUCUUAUGUGACCUUUUUCUUGUUCUAAAUGUCACUGUUUUAGUAGACAUUCAUUGGCCUGCGAGGGGGAGAUUAGCUGUAAUUUGGUAGUUGAAAAUGUCUGUAAAUGAUUAAUUUGUUUCUUACGCCAAAUUGCUUUUAUCCCUGGGUAGGAUCCUUCAGUCACACACACCCACACACACACACACACACACACACACACACACACACGAAUGACAUGUUUAGAAUGAAUGAUUAACUUUACAGCUGUUAUUUCUGAGACCAUCGUAGCAUUUCUACGUCUUAUUUAUUAAAAUGUCACUAUUAGAGAAUAAACCACACAAUGAACGCAGACUCUGUUGUUGCUUAUACUACUAUUGAGGGCCAAUUUAAAGAACCACUUAUAAUUAAUCAAGAUGAUUGAGGUUAAAUGCAAUUCAAAAUGUCUUAUCACGAAAAACUAUAAAAUAGUCAUCACAAUGCAAUUUUGUUGGCAAAGAAAGUGGGCACUUGAUCACAACACCCCCUUCCGCCCCAGGAAAGGUUCAUGUUUCUUCCCUGCAGAACCUAUUUACUGCCUCUCAGCUGUUAGUGAAAUUGCAGAUUUCUUGCCUCUCAGUAAAUCCAUUAAAGAUAUCAGGCAAGCUUACACGCUUUCCAAUUAUGAACAGAGCUCAAAUAAGAAUGAUACAUAAAUAUCUUGUCAGGUUUUUUUUUUGUCCCGUAAUGGGGUAGGCUAAUGGAUUUCACUGAUGGAUUCCUCAAUUAUCAGAUAUGCUGAAGGAGACUGGCACAGGCUGCAUUACGCUAGUGGUUCGCCAUGCGCGUUGGAAGUGGUUCAGUGGCUGCUGUUACGCACUGCUCAUUUUGAAAGGACAUUCUGGUGACCAUUUAAGUACAGUCUGUGAUGGAGACUUGUGAUGGUCCCCUAAUGCAUUUGCUGGUGAAGUGUGCGCGACUGAGAUCGUACAGAGAACGGCGUUUGUUCCUGCAAUUUGUGCAGACAAAAUAAAUAAAUAAGUCUGACAAUACAUACAGUUCUGGAGAAAAAAAAACAGACUGAUUUAAAAAUUGCCGUUCUAUUUUUAUGACAGCCGUUUUCACCAAAUCUCACCAAAAGGAUUUAGAACCACUGUGGACUUAAUGAUCCAGUUUUUUGUAUAUUGUUUAUCAAUGGUUUAUAAUGACUUGUUUUGCAUUAUAGUAAUAUUAUUAUAUUGUUCAUCUAAUAAAAGUUUGAGC